AAUGAACGUUGGCGGCAUGGAUUAGGCAUGCAAGUCGAGCGAGAAGUGUAGCAAUACACGGAAAGCGGCGGAAGGGAGAGUAAUACGUGGGAAUCUGCCCUUAGACCUGGGAUAGCAGCGGGAAACUGCUGGUAAUACCAGAUAAUGUCUAUGGACCACAGGUGUGAUUCCGUCUAGGGAUGAGCCCACGUCCUAUUAGCUAGUUGGUAGGGUAAUGGCCUACCAAGGCGAUGAUGGGUAGCGGGUGUGAGAGCAUGACCCGCCUCACUGGGACUGAGACACUGCCCAGUCACCUACGGGUGGCUGCAGUCGAGAAUCUUCGGCAAUGGGCGCUAGCCUGACCGAGCGAUGCCGCGUGCGGGAUGAAGGCCUUCGGGUUGUAAACCGCUGUCGAGGGGGAGCAACUUCCAUAGAGUUAUCUUUAUGGAUUGAGUGAUCCCUGGAGGAAGGACGGGCUAAGUUCGUGCCAGCAGCCGCGGUAAAAC
rnacentral:rRNA from 1 species